rnacentral:misc_RNA from 1 species
GAAAUGCGAUAAGUAAUGUGAAUUGCAGAAUUCAGUGAAUCAUCGAAUCUUUGAACGCACAUUGCGCCCCGUGGUAUUCCGCGGGGCAUGCCUGUUCGAGCGUCAUUUCACCACUCGAGUCUGACUCGGUAUUGGGCGCCGCGGUCUGUCCGCGCGCCUCAAAGUCGCCGGCUAGGUGGGUCUGUCCCCGAGCGUUGUGGCCUCACAGUCUCGCUUGGGAGCGCGGAUCCAUCAAGGCCGUUAAACACCCCAUCAAAGGUUGACCUCGGAUCAGGUAGGGAUACCCGCUGAACUUAA